GACGAACGCUGGCGGUGUGCUUCACACAUGCAAGUCGAACGGAGUAGCAAUACUCAGUGGCGGACGGGUGAGUAACACGUGGGAAUCUACCAUUAGGUGGGGAAUAACAGGCCGAAAGGACUGCUAAUGCCGCAUAUGUAGGCAUCUCGACAGAGAUGUUUAUGAAAGGAGUAAUCCGCCUUUUGAUGAGCCCGCGUCCGAUUAGCUAGUUGGUAGGGUAAAAGCCUACCAAGGCGACGAUCGGUAGGUGGUCUGAGAGGAUGAUCACCCACAAUGGGACUGAGACACGGUCCGGACUCCUACGGGAGGCAGCAGUGGGGAAUAUUGGACAAUGGGCGAAAGCCUGAUCCAGCAAUACCGCGUGUGUGAAGAAGGCCUUCGGGUUGUAAAGCACUUUAAGUUGGGAAGAAAAAGCUUCACCUAAUACGUGAAGCCUUGACGGUACCGACAGAAUAAGCACCGGCUAACUCUGUGCCAGCAGCCGCGGUAAGACGUAGGAUGCAAGCGUUAUCCGGAUUUACUGGGCGUAAAGCGUGCGUAGGUGGUUUGAUAAGUCGAUUGUGAAAGCCCCGGGCUUAACCUGGGAAUUGCGGUCGAUACUGUCAGACUCGAAAACGGUAGAGGGAGGUGGAACUCCAGGU
rnacentral:rRNA from 1 species